GCAAUCAUACCAGCACUAAUGCACAGGAUUCCCUCAAAACUCUAUAGUUAAACGUAUUUUAGCAAGAGUAGUACUAGGAUGGGUGACCCCCUAGGAAGUCCUCGUGUUGCACCCC